rnacentral:lncRNA from 1 species
AUAGCCGCAUUUGGUGCGUUAGUGGAUUGUUAACCGAAAUUAUUUUCGGUGGUGUGUAAGCGAGUUUCGGGGACGAAACUUUCUUUAAAGGGGGGAUAAUGUAAGGACUGAGAAUUUGACUGUAUAGUCAGACUCUCUGUUGACGAUGUUUUUGUGUGUAAUUUAAUUACAAAAGUACUCGUCAAGUUUCGAAAGAAAACGAGUUAGAAUGGAGAUUUUACGCGUCUC